CAGUCGACGCCACAUUGGGUGACUUGGGCGCAGGAGAAAAUCUCCAACCCAGCCAGGAAUCGAACCCGGGCCCGCUUGCCUGGGAUGUGAGCACGUCGCCACCCAGCUAAGCAGGCGGACUUAGUGUGAAGAAUAAAUCCAUCUAUCAACUUUUCAGCUUAUCUGCCACUUCGAUCUGUGCCCUGACAACAUCCGAUACCUUUUUACCUAGCUUAUCUGUUUCCUGAGACAGAUAUUUUUGCAUGUAACUGCUCCGGAUUCAUAACAGCUACAAAAGAUGCUAUCAUUCCACCAAACAUCCAUAUAGAAGAAUGUGAAACAGUAUAGUAACCCAAAGAGCUGCCCUUUCUCUUUAACCUACUGUAACAUUUAAGUGGCACAGUUCUGAGAAGUAAUAACAUGUUAAAUUGUUUGUGCAUCAGUGUACCUACUAGCAGAAUUAAACACAGUUCAAGUUUUUAGAUGAUGUUAAGCCACCAAAGAACAAGAAGAAGAUAAUAAAUUCGAGUAAUGGAAAACUGUGUAUGUUUCAUCAAAAUAUCUGGAAUCUCAGACGAAAUUGGAGCUUUUAAAUCUUGGCUUAUUGAUUCUGGUCAUUUAUGUCAUGCCCAUGUAUUAUGUUCCAUGGAAUACCAUGUGAGGGGUGGAGCUA